GUGGGAGGGGGCUUGCUCCCGAUGGCGGUGUGUCAGUCAGCUAAUCUGUGGCUGACGCACCGUCAUCGGGAGCAAGCCCCCUCCCAC
rnacentral:misc_RNA from 1 species